rnacentral:lncRNA from 1 species
CUAAUGGCCACAAAUUAGCUGCCUGACCUGGACCUUGCCUGACCUUGCUCCUACCCUGUUCCUUUAUUCUUCCCUUCCCCUAAUCCAAGUCCUUAACUCCAGCAGGAUAUACAGGCCUCCCUAUCUCUAGCAUGGUCUCACCGGCUGCUUCCCCUAACAAGAAUGUUCUCCCUUCAGACACCUCUACCAAAUCCUACCUCAUCUAUGGGAGCUGCCAUCCCCACUUGGCUGUUUUUACCACUCCUUUUAGCCCUUCACCAUAUGCUGCCUUGUAACUAAACUGUAAGCCUUUGAAAGAGGCAGAUCCUACAGCAUUUAAUAAUUCUAGCCAUUGGGCAAGGCACUUUUUGGAGCCUCACUUUCUCAAGCCUAUAAAAAAGGUGGAGGCGGCCAUAUGACUAUGACCAGGGCUUUUGAGUCAGAUGGCCUCAACUGGUAUCCCAGCUCUUCCACUUACUAGUUGUGUGCUUUGGGAAAGAACGGUCGCUAAAGGUAAAUUGGAAAAUGCAGAAAUGGAAAGGAGAAAAGAGCGCACCACCCAAAAUCCUUAUCCUUCGGCUGGGCGCGGUGGCUUACACCUGUGCACUUUGGGAGGCCGAGGUGGGAGGAUUGAUCGCUUGAGCCCAGGAGUUUGAGACCAUCCUGGGCAAUGUAGAGAAACCCUGUUUCUACAAAAAAUAAUUUUAAAAAAUUUAUCCUUCACACAAACU